rnacentral:rRNA from 1 species
GAAUCCCGUCUUUGGCACGGAUGCCUGGUGCUUCUGUGAUGCGCUCUCAAAGAGUCGAGUUGUUUGGGAAUGCAGCUCAAAAUGGGUGGUAAAUUCCAUCUAAAGCUAAAUAUUGGCGAGAGACCGAUAGCGAACAAGUACCGUGAGGGAAAGAUGAAAAGAACUUUGGAAAGAGAGUUAAACAGUACGUGAAAUUGCUGAAAGGGAAACGCUUGAAGUCAGUCGCGUCAUCCAGGGAUCAACCUUGCUUUUGCUUGGUGCACUUUCUGGUUUGAUGGGUCAGCAUCAAUUUUGACCAUUGGAAAAAGGUUAAGGGAAUGUGGCAUCUUUGGAUGUGUUAUAGCCCUUGGUCACAUACAAUGGUUGGGAUUGAGGAACUCAGCAUGCCGCAAGGCCGGGUUUUAAAACCACGUUCGUGCUUAGGAUGCUGGCAAUAUGGCUUUAAUCGACCCGUCUUGAAACACGGACCAAGGAGUCUAACAUGCCUGCGAGUGUUUGGGUGGAAAACCCGAGCGCGUAAUGAAAGUGAAAAGUUGAGAUCCCUGUCGUGGGGAGCAUCGACGCCCGGACCAGACCUUUUGUGACGGUUCCGCGGUAGAGCAUGUAUGUUGGGACCCGAAAGAUGGUGAACUAUGCCUGAAUAGGGUGAAUCCAGAGGAAACUCUGGUGGAGGCUCGUAGCGAUUCUGACGUGCAAAUCGAUCGUCAAAUUUGGGUAUAGGGGCGAAAGACUAAUCGAACCAUCUAGUAGCUGGUUCCUGCC